UACAGAGGUGCAAGCGUUGUUCGAAUCAUUGGGCGUAAAGAGCUCGUAGGCGGUUUGUCGCGUCUGACUGUGAAAACUCAGGGCUUAACUCUGAGCUUGCAGUGGGUACGGGCAGACUAGAGUGCGGUAGGGGAGACUGGAAUUCCUGGUGUGAGACGGUGAAAUGCGCAGAUAUCAAGGAGGAACACCGGUGGCGGAAGGCGGGUCUCUGGGCCGUAA
rnacentral:rRNA from 1 species